UUCUAUGAUGACAGCAUGUCGCCCCAAACAGAUAUCGUUUAACUUAUGAUCGAUUCGAUUCAAGCCAAACACUGAAAAUUCUGAUC
rnacentral:snoRNA from 1 species